CUUAUCAAGAGUGACGGAGGGAUCAGGCCCGAUGAAGUCCAGCAACCUGCCUUGUGCAAGGUGCUAAAUCCUGCGGGAAACCGAAAGAUAAG
rnacentral:ncRNA from 1 species